GUAGAUAUAGUUUAACUAAAACACUAGAUUGUGAAUCUAACCAUAGAGACUCACCACCUCUUAUUUACC
rnacentral:tRNA from 2 species